UUGCCUCAGUAGCUCAGUGGAUAGAGCACCCGCCUUCUAAGCGGUCGGUCGUUGGUUCGAUCCCAACCUGAGGCGUCA
rnacentral:tRNA from 1 species